GGGCAUUUGCCCCACCCAGCUUGUAUGUUAAAAAAGGCCCUGCGGGUGUAGACCCCAGCAGAAACACGGUAUUGUAAUUGUACAGGUAUUGCAAUUGUCAUUAAUUAUAAUUUUUAUAGUGCAGUUAUACCAAUUUCCAUCAGUACUGGUACCAAAACAUGAAAACCUGUAAAAUGGACUAUACUUUACACCCAUAUAUUCCUAAAUACAUGUCAAAACAUGUAUCAUACAUUAAUUCAUAAGGCUAAUUAAUUCAUAAGGCUAAUUAGCCUUAUAAGUUACAAGCUUCUCACACGUCACUCCCAAAAAAAUAUUUAGGCGGGGGGGGGGGACUUGAAAACUAAGAAAAUUGGGCUAUUAAUUUUUUGAAUACUUAACCCUAGGCACAAGUAAAAUGCCAUUUGGAACCUGUGUUGUGUAACGUACGAUUGUGGAUCAAGUCCUACAGAAGUCAUUUUGUGACUUGAAAUCUGUAGGAUAUUUAUUACAUAAGCUAGAGAAAAAAGGUUAAGGUGAAUAAUUUGCAAUAUCCUUUCAUCAACCCCAUCAACGAACAAGCGGCCUAUCAUAAUGUACCAUUGCGGCUGACUCUUCCACAGUCCCCAUUGCGGCUCAAAGCCUGCAGAAGUCAUUUUGUGACUUGAAAUGUGUCGAAUAUUAAUUACACGAGCUAGAGAGAAAAGGCUUAAAGCUGAAUAAGUUGCGGUAAGCUUCCAACAACGAGC